UGGAGGAGGAAGCAGAGACUCUGCUCUCCUCGUUUGGAUUAAUUCUGAUUUAAUAACUGUUGGUUUAUUUAUCGGUGCAGCAGCAGAACAUUUUCCACAGACAGUUUUCCUGCCCGUUGGCUUGUUUUAACCAGUUUUCUACCUUCGGCUGAUUCUACCAGCAGACACUGAAAGGACUCUGAUAGUUUGAGUGAAAGUAGCAGUUCCUCCUUAAGGUCAGAGAUUGCAGCAUCUGAGGGCCUCUUCAAAAGAAGAUGUAGUUGAUGAAGGCGUUCUGGAGCAGGACCAGAAAGACCACGACCAAGCAGCCUUGAGAUCUUAGGCAGCGUCUCCCUCAGGUCCCUCUCUAUCUCCCCACACAUCCACCAACCACUGGAACACAUCUCCAAAGUUCUGCUGGGCCAGCUCAGCUUCCCUUCAGAAGAAGUGGCGCCACCUGCCAGAUGAAGGAGCCUUUUGAGAGGCAGCUGGCAUCGUGAUUGGACUGUCCUUUGUUCUAUUCCAAUCCAGCUUCAGCUCCAGAGACGGCAGGCGGGACGAGUCAACGGAGGCCGGGUGGACGAAGGCAUGCAGCUGAGUACAAUCCAGAAAACAACAGAGGAGGAGUGCAGUGGCCCAGGGCCAGAACAGAGUAGCAUGACCAAAGAACUACAGACUCUUCACAACCUGCUCAAACUCUUGGUACAGGACCUCACCACACGGGUCAAGAAGGUUUCCUUCUCAUUUCUACUCUAAAGCUCACCUUCUCCUGCUCAAACUGCUGACAAAUGUUUCUGCUGCUCUAAAGUCUGCUCUCCAGAACUUCCUAAAAACUCUCAAAGUCUCUUCUGCUGCAGGCUGCUUUGUAGAACUGUUGCAGAAAACCUCACUAAACCACAUGGAGGGGCCUCAAGAUAGUCAUCCAAAUGAAACCGUACAAAAACCAAACUAGCACAACCCAAAUGCUAAAGUCUCCUGCAGCCUACCAGAGAACCUCUGAGAAUAGAGAAUCAGGACAGGAACUCUUACCUUCUGGACAACCAACGUUGGUUCUCAAACAAGAAUACAGAAUGUGUCUGAGCAAAAACCUCUAAAGACUCACUACAGCCAAGAUAAAGACACAGCUGCACCAAAUCCACUAAUCACUGCACACAUUAACGCCAUGUGCUAACUGUGGCUAAAGAAGCACAUUUACCAAGACAACUAUCCAGUACAAAGCCCUAAAACACACCAAGAAACACAUUAAAGACGAUUUUACUGCUGGAAGCUGCAAACCAACGCCUAAAGAACAAACCACAGCAAU